CUUACGGUUUGAAAUGUCACGUGGUCUCGUCGGAAAAGUGGCUCGACGCUCCAGAAACCACUCAGUGUUCAUAGUCGGAUGGCCAGAACUCCGGUAGCUUGAUAGUAGCGACAACGCCUUUGGUAGCGAUGACAGGGUCCGUUGCCAUGGCAUUCGGCAUCGCGUCGUUGAGGGGUGAUGUGUCCAUGAUCUGCCGGAGUGCUCAAGGCUUUUGGUGUCGCCACCCGGAAAACGAUGAAGGGAUAAGCAAGUGGCACAUUGCCGUCCGGUGUCCGGGUCGCCACUUCUGGGGAGACGAUGGAAUGUAGUACAACUUCACUGAUGAACAGUUAUCCAUGCCCAAGCAGUCGCCGUCAAAAUCUACAACGUCACAGCAAGCUGGAGCGGGAACUCCAAGGCGGGAUCGCCACCCAUCUUUCCUGGCCUCUUUUCACACUCGCACUACAAACACGGACACAAGAAGAGAGAGAAACAAAAAUCUGGACAAAUAAAAAUUAAAAGGCCUGCCUCAUUUCAGAGGCCUAACUAAUCAAUAAAUGUAGUGACAGGUGUGUAAGCCAGGUGUCACUUGCACUACACAAUGAGAAAAAAUGUUUGUUACAAGCAUCUAAUCGUUAAAAAUAUCGCACUUCUUGUUUUAUCGCUUGUCUGUCUUGUUCCGCUUUUGGUUGAGGGAAUGUAUGGUGCAUGGGUGUACGCAUGUGUGAGAUUUUCUAUUUAUAUGGCUGUUUGAGUGCAAUAAACUUUUAGUCUUGA